rnacentral:rRNA from 1 species
UACAGAGGGGGCAAGCGUUAUUCGGAAUUAUUGGGCGUAAAGGGCGCGUAGGCGGCUUGGCAAGUGGAUGGUGAAAUCCCUCGGCUUAACCGAGGAACUGCCGUCCAAACUGCUUAGCUUGAGACCGGGAGAGGUGAGUGGAAUUCCCAGUGUAGCGGUGAAAUGCGUAGAUAUUGGGAGGAACACCAGUGGCGAAGGCGGCUCACUGGACCGGUACUGACGCUGAUGCGCGAAAGCGUGGGGAGCGAACGGG